GUCCACGCCGUAAACGAUGAAUACUAGGUGUAGGGGUUGUCAUGACUUCUGUGCAGCCGCUAACGCAAUAAGUAUUCCGCCUGGGGAGUACGGUCGCAAGAUUAAAACUCAAAGGAAUUGACGGGGGCCCGCACAAGCAGCGGAGCAUGUGGUUUAAUUCGAAGCAACGCGAAGAACCUUACCUAAACUUGACAUCUCCUGAAUUACUCUUAAUAGAGGAAGCCCUUCGGGGCAGGAAGACAGGUGGUGCAUGGUUGUCGU
rnacentral:rRNA from 1 species